UCAUCUUAAACUAAAAAUGCUCUUAUUUUAUUUAACAGUGAUUUCCUGGUAACUUUGCAAAGAAGACCUUCUUCACACAGUAUCCAAAGUCGGUUACAGUGCCAAAUUAAAUUUGUUUAAAAAAAAAUUGUUUUAUAUCUUGUAAAACCAUCUAACAUUGCUCCUUUAUUCAAAAAUGCGUAAAAUUACACUUCUUUGGUUUCUGGUUUCCAUAUUGUCGUUAAAUAAAAUUUGUUGUCUAACUUUGCAAGGCCAAGUUCAUCGCGUGCAUACAGGAAAACGAGAAGGAGAUUACAAGUCGUUAUAUAAACUUGUAAACGCUGGCAAAAACAAUUAUUGGAAAAAUAAAAGAAGUAUGUUACGAUUGCAGACCCUAACAAAUGAUUAAAAGUAUAUUAAUGAGAAAAAGAAGAUCUCUUCAUAUUCAACAACAAUAUAAAUGAAUUAUAGUAUAAUUUUGUAUUUAA